UAUGCCUAUCAAAGGCAUGUGUGUGUGGAAAGCCAAGAACACUUCCAUAGGGAGUGGCACUAGCACAACAAUAGUUGAUACCCAAUCAACUAAGCCUGGAACUGAUGCUCAUCCUCCUGAUGCUGGCCCUGGCAAAAGCUUUAGAAAUUUUAGAUUUGACACUGCUGGAAUCUUGCGAGCAAUGGAAGCUGGGUUUUCUUCCUGACGAUUGGCAAUGGUAACUCUUUGUAGAUGCUCCAUGGUUACAUAGAUGGGUUAGUGUUUCUUAUGUAUCACCAAGCAGCUGUAAUCAU
rnacentral:misc_RNA from 1 species